CGCCUUGAAGAGAAAGAAGGAGGAGGAGGAGAAAAGGGGGAAGAAGAUGAAGAAAAGGAAGAGGAAGAAGAUAGGAGAAAGAGGAAGAAAAAAAUGUAUUCCAUAAGGUUCCACCAUUUCCCAUGCCCCUGUGCCUCUCUCCAUGAUCACAAUGGCAUUAACUGUUGUAGGCAAGGUGAAACAGUUGGCACAAUGUGUAUCCAACAGUGCUGGCACUCAAACAUGCAGUGGAAAUUUCAGUUCUACAACAAGCCAGCUGAUUCCACGAGCCACGUGAGGAGGGUUAUAUGAUACAGCUGGCUCAUUCAGGGCUGACCACUCAGCAGUUACUCAGUCUCUGCACUCCGACCAACCGUGGAGCAAAAAUAAGGUUAUCUGAUGAGGACUGAGUUUCAUUACAGAGAUACCUGGCCAUGCAUGUUAAUUGCUGCCCUUUCGCAAAAGCUGAGAAACACAGUCAGCCUAGAUGUUCAUCAACUGACGAAUGGAUAAUGAAAUCAUAGUAUAUAUGCUUAGAGGUGUUUUUGUAAAAUCCUUCUGGUGUAUGGAAGGGUUACGUGUGUGUAUGGUGCACAGUGCUGGGCAGGAAGCAUAGUCAACACUUGAUGAUCAGUUGUUGUUGUUGUUGUUGUUUUUCAUACCCUUUCUAUUGCCUUUGUUCUUCCUGAAGAAAGGAGAAAUUAAGGAGAUCUUGGAAUAAUAAAAUCACACUUAUUUUGA